UCAAUCUCGUGCGGCUAUAUAUACCGCCGGUCCCUCUAAGAAGAUUUUCAUUGUACGCCGGUAGUGAAGGCCGCGAGACGCACGACGCCCGACGCGCGAACGCCGGUCGUACGCGCGCACGCGGCACCUCGUGAUACCGGUUGCACGUCUAUUUAAUAGGCUAGAGUUACGUUCGUUAC
rnacentral:rRNA from 1 species